UAAUGACAUGUCACUGGCAUCGGCAUUUGACAUGCCACUUCGGCAUGCCCAGAGCGGUAGAUUCAAGGAAACAAUGGCGGACGUUUUCCAGGCUACUUCCAUUUACUUCCAACUUUAUCAGCGAUGCUUGAUGCUGAAAGUGACGUGACAAGAGGACAUUGCCUUUCAUUAGCAGUGCCACUGCAUUGGUUGACACCAUAAGGGAAUCGGUCGUCCUUGCCCGGAACAACUGCUCCACUUUACUGAUGAUAUUGAAGGCCUGCGAUGGACGGUAAAGGGUACCCCUCUUGAACUUCUUCAGUUGUAGCAGUACACUACAUUUACUGUUAGCACAGUCAUUGCUAUUGUCUGUAACAGCAUGCUGGCAUUCCCCACAAAGUGAGUUACUGAUUACUCUCAGUAUUGUUCUCAUUACAAUAAGAAAAGUCUCUCCUUGUGUUGGUGAAUGCAAUGGCUAAAGUUCAAUGAUUUCUUAUAGCCUGUCAGCAAAUAUCCUCAAAAUAACUCAGAGAUAUUGUUGGGAAUCACAUUGUUAGUGUUGUUAUUGUUAUAGUCCAUGUGUGGAUGUAAGGUGUGGCACCCCCAACCAAACUUGAAGGGGUCAGCCGUGUAUGGGUAUGUAAAACUCUUGCUGGCCUUUUGCUUUGGUUUAUGCUAAUAACUUGAUGUGGCAUCUCUGAAUGUGUUGUACCACACUGACUUUUACCUGCUCUCUCCAUUUUCCACUGUGCCUGUACUUGCCUAGGACCAAGGAUGCAGAGGACAAGAAGGGUGUGUAGUAUGUAGUAUGUGUAGUUUAUGGUUUAGGUCCAAAUGAAGGGACCCUCCAACAUCUCCAACACCUCCUGUCACACCUCUAGCCAAAUGUGCUACAUCUUCCUCAGUUAACCUUCUUGUAGGUGCGCAUAGUGUAUACAGCAUCCCUUGCACAUUGAGUCUUUGGUUGUUGACACACAGUUGUUGUUCAGACUUGGGAAUCUGAAAUGUUUUUCAGAAUGUCUUUGCAAAUCUAAAUGGGUCUAAGCCCUCCUUGUUAUGUUGCAGUCUCACCGUAUCUCCCCCUCGGCCUUUUUUGUGUUUGUUCCUGUUCUUGUUGUUGUUAAAACACACUUGUUCCACAUAUUGAAAAUGUAAUAUUCAUUCAAAUUAGCCAAGGCUAUAAAUGCUAUGAUGCUUUCUGUUGGGUUGUGCACAGCCCACAUGAUAUGUAUCUGUCCCUAUCAAAUAAACCAUAAACAAACAAACAAACAAUAAACAAAUGUAGUGAAAACCCAAAAUGUAUCAUCCUUUCUAUAUCCUACUGUUAAGUGCUUUCUUGAAACAGUUGAUUGAGUUACACGUGUGUUAUCGAAACAGUGGGUGUCCUGAACAAACUGUUGAACAAACAAACUUUUAAUAUUUCGGCCGUU